CGUAACGCGUAAGCAACCUGCCCUGAAGCGGGGGACAACAGCCUGAAAGGGCUGCUAAUACCGCAUGUGGACAUUUGGCGGCAUCGUUAUUUGUCUAAAGUUUUAUACACUUCAGGAUGGGCUUGCGGCCUAUCAGCUAGUUGGUGGGGUAAAGGCCUACCAAGGCAUUGACGGGUAGCUGGUCUGAGAGGACGAUCAGCCGGAUUGGGACUGAGAUACGGCCCAGACUCCUACGGGGGGCAGCAAUUAGGAAUCUUGCACAAUGGGGGAAACCCUGAUGCAGCGACGCCGCGUGGAGGAUGACGGCCCUCGGGUUGUAAACUCNU
rnacentral:rRNA from 1 species